rnacentral:tRNA from 1 species
UAGCUCAGUUGGUAGAGCGACGGACUGUUAAUCCGCAGGUCGCUGGUUCGAGC